rnacentral:rRNA from 1 species
GACGAACGCUGGCGGCGUGCUUAACACAUGCAAGUCGAGCGGAGCGGCGAACGGGUGAGUAACGCGUGAGUAACUGCCCCCCUCCCUGGGAUAACAGUUGGAAACGGCUGCUAAUAACGGAUAGUGGGGGAUGACUCGCGUCCUAUCAGCUUGUUGGUGGGGUAGUGGCCUAUCAAGGCGACGACGGGUAGCCGGCCUGAGAGGGCGACCGGCCACAUUGGGCUGAGAUACGUCCCAAACUCCUACGUGAGGCAGCGGGGGGGAAUAUUGCACAAUGGUGGAAACCCUGAUGCAGCAACGCCGGGUGCGGAAUGUCGGCCUGGGGGUUGUAAACCGCUUUCAGCCAUGACGCGGUAUUUGCAGAAGAAGCACCGGCUAACUACGUGCCAGCCGCCGCGGUAAUUC